CACCGCUUCAUUUAAGCGGGCGCCGGACUCGGUAGAUAAAUAGGAACCCAAUAUCAGCCGGUCUCAUUUGAAAUUUCGAAAAGCUUAAGCGCUUCGGCUGCCUCCGAUCUCCGAGGUCAGAGAAAGCGAGAGAAUUUGAGAGAGAGGGACGAGAAGAAGAAGAAGAAGAAGAAGAAGAAGAAGCGAUGACCCUCCUCUGCUUCUUGCUCGAUCUCCGAACCAUUCCUCCUCCAUUGCUCCGCGAUCUGAAGCAGAGUUUGCUGCAGCUCGCCAAUCUGUAUGCGGUGACGUGUGGGAGAGGGGAGAGGGAGCGAGGGGCGGAGGGGAUGCCGCUCCUUCGAGAUCGGUUAGGAUUGUGCUACCUCCAUAAGGGCGGAGCCCCUUCCUCAUCUACUGAGCUGAAGAUUGUGUACAGACCAGGACAAAAUUUUAGUCUCCGAGAUUUCCACCAUGCUGUCAACAACUUACCCAUGGAUAGAUUUAUGCCUGAGUUUAACCAGUCCAUGCCUAGCGAAAGUAGUGAUCAAGACAUGUCACUCACAAACCUUUUGACAAGCAAAGAGCUUUACACAUGGGGUGGUCAUCAUGUCCCGAAGAAAGUGAUUAUUAUAUGCACAUCUUUGUUUGCCAACGCUGAAGCUAUGCGCAAAUCCCUCCUGGGUGCAGCAGAACAGUGUAUCCCAGUGGAAUUUAUGGUGUGGGAACAGGAAGAUGCAAAUGUACAUUAUGAUGUAUCGGAGAAGCUCAAUGGAUUCAUUAAUAGUAUCUCUGAUCUUGAAAACUGUGUGCUCCGGAGGUAUCUUUCUGACUCUUGGGUCAUGUGCGGCAUAGUCAAAAGAUGGUUGAAAGAGCUAAAGGAUGAUGUAGAGCAACCACUGAAAGCAGUCUUUCUCUUCAAGAACACCAUUGUGGGCUCUAUAGAUCAAAUCUAUUGCAACUUAUUCGCUUCUUCGAAUCAGAUCGUUGAUGGUUUUCCAUCCUGUCAGACAUGCAGAUGCCAUGGCUACCCAAUUGAAAUUGCAGUCAGUGACAAGAAGCGUUGUCCACUCACCUGCCAUGAGCUCGGGGCCUCUGAUCUGAUUGAUAAUGCAGUUAGGGUUGGAGAACAAACUGUUUUGUUUCUGCCCUCAUUUGAAGGUUGUCAAAAACUUCAACGAAUCUAUGCACCCAUAACAUUUUCUAUUAUUGAACGCACCGGGAUGGCUUCACUAAGUGAAGAUGUUAUAGAAGGGACAUCCUAUGUUGUGACUCCUUCAGCUUAUCAUGAAAUGGAAGUUGCUCCAGAUGAAAGUGAUAAGUCAAAUCUGAAUACUCAACUUUUUCAUGGGCUGCGCGGAGCUCUUUUCCAUCUGGAUCAGGGACUUGUAUGCUCGUCAACCUGUAAUACAGAUACAAUGAGGGAUGGAACCUUCCAAUGCUUCUAUGUUCUUCAGCCUUCUGACAAAGGGCCAAUGCUUUUGAGGAGGCUUGCUGGAUCAGAAGAAAUUCUGCCAAUCCCUGAGAUGAGUCGAGCAAAUAACCAUACCAUACCACAGGAAUUAGAGAAGUCCAUUCAAUCCUCAUUAUCAAAGAUUGAACUCAGAGAAUACAACCCUCUUCAACAUGAAAGAGGUUUCCACCCAAAGCUAAACUGGCUGGUAAAGGAGAGCUUGCAAUUUGGGACGAUCCUGCCACGUGUUCAGAUGAGUCCUAAACUCAGCAAUCUGAAUGAUAUUCAGUCGACCAUUCUGCAGCAUGACUCAUCUACCCAAGCUCCUGAAGGUGAAGUAUGGCCCAACAAAAAUAAGGAGGAACAGAACUCUUCUUGUGUUACAGAGGAGUGGGAGCAGCUUCUCAUUGUCGAUGAAAUGAAUGAUGUCUAUUCAUCCACCUGCAUUUCCAACCCUAAGUUUCAAAAUUCCAGUUUGGCAGCUCAGACUAAGCCUUUGGAUGAAAAAACCUCGAGAAUUCUUGAGAGAUUGGAAGCCCCAAAGCAACAGAAACUGAAGGCUACUUCACCAUCAGUCUCAAGAAACUUGGUCGAUGGGCAGAUGAGGCAGCCACUGGUGCCCUUUGAAUCAAGCUCAAGCCGACCAUUGAGACCAAUUUUUCAGACGUUAAAAAGGAAGCAGAGAUAAAUAUAGGCACUGCACUUCUGGGUACUUUCUGUUUUGUAGAUUUGCAAAUGAGUUUUAGCAUAUAUGUUUCUUCCUACAUCUACAUUGUUUAGACUUCCAGUGGAGCAUUAACGACACAAUAUGUUGAUGCUGUCAUGCCUGCUGCCAGAGCAUCUUGUUUGCAUGCAAGGAUCCACGUACGUGACUUUUAAAUGUGCUGCAAAAGAAAGUUUAUCAGGACCUUUGUCUAAGCUAAGGAGCCAUAGUUAGGUUUGGCUGAUUUUGUACUUUAGGCGUAUAAACAUUGGCAAGGGCUGUGUUCCAACCUAAUUGCUGCGAUCUAACCCAAUUGUUUAGAUGGAACCGAAGCUUGCCGCUGAGUAAUUCAGAGCUAUACACUAGUUGAUAUUGGUAACAAUCCGUGUAUCUCACCUGUGAAUUAUGUUCGUAUUUUUCGAUCAUGGGGAUUUGCUCUGAUAUCAUGUUUGUUGGGAAACAUCGAUCACGAUUGAGCUGUUGAUGAGAGCUACAAAAGGUGUUUGAAAUGCAAAA